AGCUGGCCAAGAGUCCGCAGGAUGCAGUGGACGAAGGUGUUGGGGCUGGGGCUGGGGGCUGCUGCCCUCUUGGGGCUGGGGAUCAUCCUUGGCCACUUUGCCAUCCCCAAAAAAGCCAACUCACCGGCCCCCCAGGACCUGGACCUGGAGAUCCUGGAGACCGUCAUGGAGCAGCUGGAUGCCCACAGGAUCCGGGAGAACCUCAGGUGAGAGGUGGGGCCAUCUGCUCCUCCGUUUGCCAGAGGCCCCCUCCCUGAUGCUGGCCCUGCCCCUCCCUCUGCCCACCCUGCAGAGAACUCUCCAGGGAGCCACACCUGGCCUCCAGCCCUCGGGAUGAGGACCUGGUGCAGCUGCUGCUGCAGCGCUGGAAGGACCCAGAGUCAGGCCUGGACUCGGCCGAGGCCUCCACGUACGAAGUGCUGCUGUCCUUCCCUAGCCAGGAGCAGCCCAACGUCGUGGACAUCGUGGGCCCCACUGGGGGCAUCAUCCACUCCUGCCACCGGACUGAGGAGAACGUGACCGGGGAGCAAGGGGGGCCAGAUGUGGUACAACCCUAUGCUGCCUAUGCUCCUUCUGGAACCCCACAGGGCCUCCUCGUCUAUGCCAACCGGGGCGCGGAAGAAGACUUUAAGGAGCUACAGACUCAGGGCAUCAAACUUGAAGGCACCAUCGCCCUGACUCGCUAUGGGGGUGUAGGGCGUGGGGCCAAGGCUGUGAACGCUGCCAAGCACGGGAUAGCCGGGGUGCUGGUGUACACAGACCCUGCUGACAUCAACGAUGGGCUGAGCUCACCCGACGAAACCUUUCCCAACUCCUGGUACCUGCCCCCCUCAGGAGUGGAGCGAGGCUCCUACUACGAGUAUUUUGGGGACCCUCUGACUCCCUACCUUCCAGCCGUCCCCUCUUCCUUCCGCGUGGACCUUGCCAAUGUCUCCGGAUUUCCCCCAAUUCCUACACAGCCCAUUGGCUUCCAGGAUGCAAGAGACCUGCUCUGUAACCUCAACGGAACUUUGGCCCCAGCCACCUGGCAGGGAGCACUGGGCUGCCACUACAGGUUGGGUCCCGGCUUCCGGGCUGACGGAGACUUCCCAGCAGACAGCCAGGUGAAUGUGAGCGUCUACAACCGCCUGGAGCUGAGGAACUCUUCCAACGUCCUGGGCAUCAUCCGUGGGGCUGUGGAGCCUGGUGAGCCCUCCUCUUGCUGCCUGCACCCCAGGCCCCUGCUCUGCUCUGGAUGCCGCUGUCCUCAUCCAGCCCUGCCCUUGCCACCACCCAGCCCAGCUCCCCCUGCCCACCUCUCCCUCUCCUCUGGUUCUCUGCCCCUUUUCCUCUGGCCAGAUCGCUACGUGCUGUAUGGGAACCACCGAGACAGCUGGGUGCACGGGGCUGUGGACCCCAGCAGUGGCACCGCCAUCCUCCUGGAGCUCUCCCGUGUCCUGGGGACCCUGCUGAAGAAGGGCACCUGGCGUCCUCGCAGAUCAAUCGUGUUUGCGAGCUGGGGGGCUGAGGAGUUUGGGCUCAUUGGCUCCACGGAAUUCACAGAAGAGUUCUUCAACAAGCUGCAGGAGCGCACGGUGGCCUACAUCAACGUGGACAUCUCGGUGUUUGCCAACGCUACCCUUAGGGUGCAGGGGACGCCCCCUGUCCAGAGUGUCGUCUUCUCUGCAACCAAAGAGAUCCGCUCACCAGGCCCUGGCGACCUGAGCAUCUACGACAACUGGAUCCGGUACUUCAACCGCAGCAGCCCGGUGUACGGCCUGGUCCCCAGAGCAAGACUUCAGCCAGGAUCUACCCCACCUACCAUACAGCCUUUGACACCUUUGACUAUGUGGACAAGUUUUUGGACCCAGGCUUCAGCAGCCAUCAGGCUGUGGCCCGGACAGCGGGGAGUGUGAUUCUCCGGCUCAGUGACAGCUUCUUCCUGCCCCUCAAAGUCAGUGACUACAGUGAGACACUCCGCAGCUUCCUGCAGGCAGCCCAGCAAGAUCUCGGGGCCCUGCUGGAGCAGCACAGCAUCAGCCUGGGUAGGCACAGCCCUGACCCUGAGGUAUGGGGAGCCCUGCACCCCCAGGACUGAGCCACUGCUUGUUCCUCACAGGGCCUCUGGUGACUGCAGUGGAGAAGUUUGAGGCAGAAGCUGCAGCCUUGGGCCAACGCAUAUCAACACUGCAGAAGGGCAGCCCUGACCCCCUGCAGGUCCGGAUGCUCAAUGACCAGUUGAUGCUCUUGGAACGGACCUUUCUGAACCCUAGAGCCUUCCCAGAGGAACGCUACUACAGCCAUGUGCUCUGGGCACCUCGCACGGGCUCCGUAGUCACAUUCCCGGGCCUAUCCAAUGCCUGCUCCAGGGCCAGGGACACAGCUUCUGGAUCUGAAGCUUGGGCUGAGGUCCAGAGACAGCUCAGCAUUGUGGUGACAGCCCUGGAGGGUGCGGCAGCCACCCUGAGGCCUGUGGCUGACCUCUGACCCCAGCCCUCUUUCUUCAGCCCUCCCUUUACUCC
rnacentral:sRNA from 1 species